rnacentral:piRNA from 1 species
GUAACUUGUGUGGCUUCGAACUUACC